rnacentral:tRNA from 1 species
GAAAUUUUAAAAUUAGGCUGCUAACCUAAAUAAAAUGGCUCCCAUUAAAUUUCU